CGCGGUAUUUUGACCGUGCGAAGGUAGCAUAAUCAUUAGUCUUUUAAUUGAAGGCUUGUAUGAAGGGUUGGACGAGAAAUAAGCUGUCUUUAUUGGAAAAAUAGAAUUUAACUUUUAAGUGAGAGGGCUUAAAUGUUCUAAAGGGACGAUAAGACCCUAUAAAGUUUGACAUUUUAUUCGUUAAAAAAUAAAAUAAAUAAUUAAUUUUUAUUAGUGGAGUUAGUGUUUUGUUGGGGCGAUUAGAAUAUAAAAAAUUUAACUGUUUUAUAUUAAUACAAAGUUGUUUGAGUGUUUUGAUCCUUAAUAAAGGUAUUAGAGUAAAUUACUUUAGGGAUAACAGCGUAAUUUUUUUUGAGAGUUCUUAUCGACAAAAAAGUUUGCGACCUCGAUGUUGAAUUAAAGAAUUCUUUAUAGCGCAGAAGUUAUAAAAGAAGGUCUGUUCGACCUUUAA
rnacentral:rRNA from 1 species